AAAUAAACUGGGUCGCCAGAAGAAUGAAUACUUUACUGCCUUCCUGCCGUCCCGCAGACCCCCAGCGUCACCCGCCAUCCCAAAAGAGGCACCUGCUGGAUGAUCAGUUCAAAUGACACUUCAUGGAAACCAACCAAGUGCUUAACACCUGCAUAUCUACAAAGAUAAAGCAGAAACUGAGAAGGACUUGAAGCUCAACCACAUACUUCCUCAGAUUCCA
rnacentral:lncRNA from 1 species